AUUUUAAAAUAAUGCAUUUAUUCAAAUUUGUCUAACUCUAUUUUUUGAUCCAAGUCUUAUUUACUUCAAAGGAAAUUCACCUUUUAAAGAACAUCACUUUGAAAACUCUUUAAAUGCUUUCCCUUGUUUGGGCACAAUGAUUGAUAGGCUUUUUGGAUUAUUGAGGUAAUAUGAGUUAUAUUUGUGUGUGCUGUCACCACAUAUUUACUGGGUAUACCCUACAUUUUCCAGUUUUGAAUGUGCCUAGUGCUAAGGCAUGCUUCAUGCCAGGUCCAAGUAAUCAAUAGGCCCUCAAGCAUAAGUGAUAACACGUAAGCACGCAAAACAGAUUCCCAUGUAACCUGUUUUACAGCCUCUCUGCUU
rnacentral:lncRNA from 1 species